GCUCAUGGGUCCCUACGCUGAAACACUCCAGUAUCAUGCAAGGCGCUAUCGCAUUCUUUCAUCGAUAUAUCUCUGACCGCCAUGACCUUCGCUGCUUUUCCUUCGCCUCCAUUUCUUUGUUGGGAUGGCUACAUAGUUUUUCUUCUUCUUCUUCUUGCCGCAGGAACACAGCAGCUGUAGGCGAAGAUUUACUAGGAAUGCGUUUGUGAAGAAACCUCUUUUAAAGGCGCUCCCCCUGGCGGUCGAUGACUUCCAUACACCCAUGCUGUAAACAUGGCGUGUCUCACGGGCGGAUCUCUCAACGACAACAAAGCUCGUCCUCCUCCAGAAACAACGUCACAAGUAAUUGUGUGAAGAACUUUGACGUCUUAAUUCAGCCGUUGCAAAGGACCAACCCGUGCUCUGUGGGAACCGGUUUCGGGGCGGAAGUUUGCGGAGUCGCUCACCCAGUUACGUAACUGACGUUGCCUGUUGAGUUGCAUGCGCUCCGCUUCCUUCUACACGUCUCCUUUUCGCCAGGGCUCAUGACCGCUACUGUUAACAAGCUUCACUUUCACGAGAUUCUUUUCUCCUUCUUUUCCGUGCUCGGACUCCACAUAGACAAUGGGCACGUUAAAUAGCUGCUCUCUUACUCCUUCUCGGGCGCUCCACGUUUCGUGCUCCCGGUGUAGUUAUUAAACGGCACUUGGACGCUCGAACACGCUCGCUGUGCAGCCGUUUCUCACUUACUCUCUUUUUUACUCUCUCUGCACUGGUGACGCCUCAGGUCCUUCGUUCUCUUUCUUCGCUUUCGUGGAGAGGAGGGAAGAGGUCACGUGACGAAGCACGAUACCCCCUUUUUCGUGCACCCUCCAAAAGCUGGAGCGUGAAGAGCGCUCUCACGUACGAAACUCGGAGUACGAGAGUAUGCAAUAAUUGCUUCCCUGGCGUCGCGUACAACCAAUAAGCAUCUACUAGAGACGUGACGUCAUCAUGGGCCGACUCGAGCUGACGAGACGUCUGUAUCUCUUACCGUAG